rnacentral:rRNA from 1 species
CGAAGGAUGCUAAGCGUUAUCCGGAUUUAUUGGGUUUAAAGGGAGCGUAGGCGGUCUUAUAAGUCAGUGGUGAAAUCUCGUCGCUUAACGACGAACGUGCCAUUGAUACUGUAGGACUUGAGUACAGAUGCCGUUGGCGGAAUGUGUCAUGUAGCGGUGAAAUGCAUAGAUAUGACACAGAACACCGAUUGCGAAGGCAGCUGACGAAACUGUAACUGACGCUGAGGCUCGAAAGCGUGGGGGAUCAAACAGGAUUAGAUACCCUGGUAGUCCACGCCCUAAACUAUGAUUACUCGUUGUCGGCGAUAUACAGUCGGUAACUAAGCGAAAGCGUUAAGUAAUCCACCUGGGGAGUACGCCCGCAAGGGUG